GGAAUUUUGGGCAAUGGGCGAAAGCCUGACCCAGCAACGCCGCGUGAAGGAUGAAGUCCCUCGGGAUGUAAACUUCGUAAGUAUGGGAAGAAUAAAUGACGGUACCAUACGUAAGCUCCGGCUAACUACGUGCCAGAAGCCGCGGUAAUACGUAGGGAGCAAGCGCUGUUCGGAUUUACUGGGCGUAAAGGGUGCGUAGGCGGCGCGUCAAGUCACUUGUGAAAUCUCCGGGCUUAACUCGGAACGGCCAAGUGAUACUGUCGCGCUAGAGUGCGGAAUGGGCAACUGGAAUUCUUGGUGUAGCGGUGAAAUGCGUAGAUAUCAAGAGGAACACCUGAGGCGAAGGCGAGUUGCUGGGCCGACACUGACGCUGAGGCACGAAAGCCAGGGGAGCGAAC
rnacentral:rRNA from 1 species